rnacentral:rRNA from 1 species
CACGUAGGGCGCAAGCGUUGUCCGGAAUUAUUGGGCGUAAAGAGCUCGUAGGCGGUCUGUUGCGUCCGCUGUGAAAACUCGGGGCUUAACCCCGAGCCUGCAGUGGAUACGGGCAGACUAGAGGUAGGUAGGGGAGAAUGGAAUUCCCGGUGUAGCGGUGAAAUGCGCAGAUAUCAGGAGGAACACCGAUGGCGAAGGCAGAUCUCUGGGCCGUAACUGACGCUGAGGAGCGAAAGCAUGGGGAGCGAACAGG